UACAUGCGAUUGUUUCUCCAGAUGUGAAUUAUGGAGGAAAAGUUGACCUCAUCAGAGGCACGCCAUUCGACUGAGUGACCUAUCAGCUUGUACUUAGGGUCUUUACCUAGGUAGGCUAUCACGGGUAACGGGCGGUUACCGUCGGACUGCCGGAGAAGGCGCCUGAGAGAUAGCGACUAUAUCCACGGGUAGCAGCAGGCGCGAAACUUUCCCACUCGAGACUUUCGGAGGAGGUAAUGACCAGUUCCAUUGGUGCCUUUUGGUACUGUGGAUAGGGGUACGGUUUUCCACCGUACCGAAACCUAGCAGAGGGCCAGUCUGGUGCCAGCAGCUGCGGUAAUUCCAGCUCUGCGAGUUUGCUCCCAUAUUGUUGCAGUUAAAACGCCCGUAGUCUGAAUUGGCCAGCAAUGGUCGUACGUAUUUUUACGUUCACUGUGAACAAAUCAGGACGCUUAGAGUAUGGCCACAUGAAUGACUCAGCGCAGUAUGAAGUCUUUGUUUUCUUCCGAAAACAAGCUCAAUGAGAGCCAUCGGGGGUAGAUCUAUCUCAUGACGAGUGGUGGAAUACUUUGACUCAUGAGAGAGAAGCUGAGGCGAAGGCGUCUACCUAGAGGGUUUCUGUCGAUCAAGGGCGAGAGUAGGAGUAUCCAACAGGAUUAGAGACCCUGGUAGUUCCUACCUUAAACGAUGCCGACAGGAGUUUGUCAUUUGUUAAUGGCAGAAUCUUUGGAGAAAUCAUAGUUCUUGGGCUCUGGGGGAACUACGACCGCAAGGCUGAAACUUGAAGGAAUUGACGGAAGGGCACACCAGGGGUGGAGCCUGUGGCUUAAUUUGAAUCAACACGGGGAAACUUACCAGGACCAGAUGUUUUUUAUGACUGACAGGCUUCGGGUCUUUCAGGAUAUUGUUUUUGGUGGUGCAUGGCCGUUGGGUGGUGCGUGGGUUGACCUGUCUAGCGUUGAUUCAGCUAACGAGCGAGAUUAUCGCCAAUUAUUUACUUUGCCG
rnacentral:ncRNA from 2 species